rnacentral:misc_RNA from 1 species
UCCGGUUUGUCACCGGCAGUCACCUUAGAGUGCCCAACUAAAUGCUGGCAACUAAGAUCAAGGGUUGCGCUCGUUGCGGGACUUAACCCAACAUCUCACGACACGAGCUGACGACAACCAUGCACCACCUGUCACCAAUGUACCAAGAAGGUAAAGCCCUAUCUCUAGGGAUGUCAUUGGGAUGUCAAGACCUGGUAAGGUUCUUCGCGUUGCUUCGAAUUAAACCACAUGCUCCACCGCUUGUGCGGGCCCCCGUCAAUUCCUUUGAGUUUCAGUCUUGCGACCGUACUCCCCAGGCGGAGUGCUUAAUGCGUUAGCUGCAGCACUAAAGGGCGGAAACCCUCUAACACUUAGCACUCAUCGUUUACGGCGUGGACUAC